rnacentral:rRNA from 2 species
UUAGCGGCGGACGGGUGAGUAACACGUGGGCAACCUGCCCCUUAGACUGGGAUAACUCCGGGAAACCGGAGCUAAUACCGGAUAAUCCCUUUCUCCACCUGGAGAGAGGGUGAAAGAUGGCUUCGGCUAUCACUAAGGGAUGGGCCCGCGGCGCAUUAGCUAGUUGGUAAGGUAACGGCUUACCAAGGCAACGAUGCGUAGCCGACCUGAGAGGGUGAUCGGCCACACUGGGACUGAGACACGGCCCAGACUCCUACGGGAGGCAGCAGUAGGGAAUCUUCCGCAAUGGACGAAAGUCUGACGGAGCAACGCCGCGUGAG